rnacentral:rRNA from 1 species
GGAGGGAGCGAGCGUUGUUCGGAAUCACUGGGCGUAAAGGGCGCGUAGGCGGCCGAGUAAGUCGUGUGUGAAAGACCGGGGGCUCAACUCCGUGUACUGCAUGCGAUACUGCCCCCGGCUGGAGAAAGGUAGAGGCGAGUGGAAUUCCCGGUGUAGCGGUGGAAUGCGUAGAUAUCGGGAAGAACACCUGUGGCGAAGGCGGCUCGCUGGGCCUUUUCUGACGCUGAAGUGCGAAAGCGUGGGGAGCAAACAGGAUUAGAUACCCUGGUAGUCCACGCCGUAAACGAUGGGCACUAGGCGUUGGGAGGAUUGACCCUCUCAGUGCCGUAGCUAACGCGUUAAGUGCCCCGCCUGGGGAGUACGGCCGCAAAGGCUG